rnacentral:tRNA from 1 species
AGGGAAGUAGCUGAGCUAAUACAUGGCUUCUAACUUUGUAAAGAGAGGUCUAAUUCCUUUCACCUCCCUUA